CUCUCCCUUAUCUCUUUCUCUCCCGAUCUGAGCGGAGGUGGCGGCAGCUCCCAUCCUCUUCCCCCACUCCUCUCCCUCAGAUUGAGCUCCGCCCCAAAGUGGAGGAAAGGUACGCGGCCGUCGAUCUGUGCACGUCUAGCCAUGGAGGGCUCCCCCCUCUCGCACUCCUUCUCCGCAUGGAGCGUUAGCAGCCCACACGUCGUAGAUCCACUACCCCUGUGUCCUCCCCACACCGGCCGCCGGUGGCUGCCGCAUAGAUCCGUUCCUCCCCCACCUGCCACACGGGGCGGCGCACGCUGCCAUGCCGUUUGGGUGCAGCCAGACCGCCGCCCCUACCCUCGCGCUCCGGGCAGAGGCUCGUUCUUCUUGGUGGUGACUACACGUUCCUCCCUGGUGGUGGCACUCUGCCGCUGUCUUGCGUUUCUCCCAGUGGCUGCGCCCUUCGACCCCUACCUCGAAUCAAUCGAUCCGGCAAUAGAGAGAUGAAACUGCAAAGAAGCAUGAUAAGGAAAAAGCGGGUUUCGACGCUGGACAUUUGAACAAAAUCAUAUACUAGAGACUGCUUGUAUUAUAAUAGAAGUGGCGCAAGAUUUCUUAUAUCUGGGUGAGGGCAUCCAUCAAUGUUGGGACAAGGAAUCUCAUCACUAUAGUAUGUAGCUACCACAGUGGACCAGGAAACAAACCAAAAGAGAGCACUCACACAGAACCAUGAAGCCAAUGAUCUACAUCAACUAGAUGUUUUAGAUUUCUUUUUUUUGGCGCUGAAACAUGAUCAAAUGGUCAGAAACGGUCUAAAUGUGUAUUUUGACGGCCGAAAUGACUGGGAGCGAGAGACAGCUCCCUUUAGGCUCAGUUUUACUGUUCUAAAUUUUGUACAACUGAUGUCUCAUACUUGCAUCUUUUACAUGUCCUUUUGUGAACUUGAUGUAUGGUGUCUUGGUGGUAAUGUUUAGAGCAGACUGUAGUGUAUGUAUGUGACAAAUAGUUAAUCGAAUAAAAAAAUGUUUGGGGCACCUGA